rnacentral:lncRNA from 1 species
GAAAGAAAAACAAUUUAAAACCUGUAUUUUUGGAAGAAAGUAAAAACAAGUAUUUCUAAACCUGGAUAUUUUUUUUUUUUAAAAGAAGGUCUUUAAUUCAAAAUCAAUUUCACCCCCUGAAAACAGGAUCGCAUACAGGCUACAGCAUUGAAAUCAGAAACUAAAACUAUAAAAUCUUAUUUACAAAUUAAACAACAUUAUCAGCUAAACCUCGAUAAGAAGAGUAGCUGAUAACCAAAUAAACAAAUCUAAUUUCCAACUGAAUUGAAUUGCAGAACUCCAACUGCAUCUAGUCUUAAUGACAUCGUCCUAAAUACUCUACCUGUCCAUCUGCUUGAAACUCAACCACUUGCAAUCCUUGCCUAGUCUUAAGUGAAUCAUCUUUAUUCCUAGCUGAAAAGGGUUAGAAGGAAUAGCAAGAAUGAGCAAUAAUGCUCAGCAAGAAUAACAAAAUGAAAUUGAUAUUUGUUGUACAGCAAUGCCAUAAUAAAGAAGUGAAAAUAUUUAAAACUGCAGAAAUGAAUGUAUAAGCAAAUAUCUCUUGAAGGCAGGGUAACUUCUUUUUAAACUAUUCACAAUUUUAUUGGGCUUUAAAAAUAAUUGGACACCUGGCUAUAACAGAUGAUCAGUCAUGCUAUAGUCCAUAAACCAAGCUUAUUCAGCAAGGUUGACAAAUAUUACGAAUUCCGGUAAUCCGGGCUUAAGGAGCCACCUUUCACGCUGGGCCGGUGCCCGAGCCUCUUACGCAAAAACAACCCAAUAGUUUAAUUUUUAAAACAAUCUGCAGUUCCAUCAUGUAAUUCAAGAGCCAGAAUAACAUUUUGUUAAAACAAUUUCUUUAUGCAUAUCAUAGUGUAGAGUUGAUACCAAAAGUGUUAUCCGUUCAACCAAAAAGUUUAAAAGUACUAGAUAUGCUUCACAAGAAAGUAAUUGCAAAUAAUUUGAAUCAUGAUAUAAAGAAGGUUUUAGUAUCUAUAGGUACUAGAGGAGUAGGGUAGAAAUACUUGCUUCUAAAUUGCGAGAGAAGGUAGAAGUACUUGCCUUAACUCCAAAGUUUAGCUCAGAUUCCUAGUAACACUAUAUACCGCAUAAUCAUUCCUUUCUGCCAGCUUCUGACACACUUUUAUCUAUAACAAAUCUCCGUCCUACUUCAACUUGUAACAUUCUGCUUGGCUAUUUCUGAAUACCCCUUUCAAUCACUUCUCGAUUAAUGCCUCGGUCAAUGUCUUCAAUUCUAUACGAUGAUAAAAUAGUAUUUCAGUCGUCGGAUUAGACAUAUUGACUAACCCUGAAUUGCAUUAAGACCUAUAUAUAUAUCUACCCUUCGCAUAUACAUACCACAGUCACAUAAACACAUAGCACAUAGUUGUACAAACAACCCUUUUUAUAGGCAUUAAAUCCAUAUAAUUUCUAACGAAAAUUCGGCAGCAUCUCCUCUGUUUAUAAGCUUAUCCACCUGUUUGCAAUGCCAACAACCAACCAAUACUAUUGCUAACACAUGAAUUAUUAAUAUAAAAAGAUCCCUUGACUUGCAGUAAACACAUAAGAAAAUCUGUCUUGACUUGUAGUAAACAUAUAAUAAAAUCUUUUAGCAGGAUUGCUAACUUGUUAUACGCAAAACACUUUUAAUUAGAUAUACAAGGUUAACCGAGCCAAUCAAUGUAAUAAUCAAUCAUAUGCAAUUAGUCAAGUAUAACCUCAUACUAUGCACUAGCAAAGAAAGAAAAAUAGAACAAAUAGUUCAAACAGCCCUCGGUCUAUGAUUUUUAAUAAAUUGAAAAUUUAUCUUUUUAAUACGAAAUUUUUAUGAGACACUCCUAAAUAUUAUUCCAACCUACAGUAAAAUUUUCAGAAAGAAAAUCCAAGUUUAAAGCUGUAAAACAGAGCCUGGAACAGGACAACCCUGCCCAGAAUUUUCAGCACCAUACUAUACUAAAACGGUCAUAUCUCCUAGCUCGCUAAUCGAAUCGAUUCGGUUCUUUCGCGCACAUAAACUAGACUCUAAGGAGCACAUAACCACACAAAUAUUAAGCAUAUAAUUCAACUCUAUGAUCCCAGAGUUGUAAUUCAAAACAGAUCAACAGCAAUCUAGAAUUCAACCGAAUAUGUGUAAAUCAAAAUUUUUUUUUUAGCCCAAUACUUAAACUCUUAAAACACCACUUUGAAAACAUUUACAAAAAAUCUCAGACCUUAAAGCUUGAAUACUCAGUUAUAUAUUCCCAUAAUUCAAGUACCCAAGUCAUCCGAUUACACUACUAGUUGGCGCACUAUUUAUAAUCAACUUACAACAACCAGUUCAAAUAUCAAUUAAGCACACAAUUCAAUCAUACAAUUACUAACACCAAUCUCAAUCUCAGAAAUUCAAUCAACCUUCAAUUACAAGCAUAUAAUCAGUUUAUAUACAUACAAACACAUAUAAAUCAGAUUAUACACACAUAAAUCAGAUUAUACACGUAUAAACACCGUUCACCCGAUUAUAAUUUCGAUUAUCCGACAUGUAAAUACACGCAUAUAUAUACACUGAUUCAACAAGGGAAACUAAACUUUAUACCCAUUGAUAUUCGAAUAGCAGGUGCGAUGGAGUGACUCGCCAAAACACAGGCGGCGACUCAAGCUCGGCGGCGGUAAUCCGGCCAGAGAUUGGCGGCCGUGGUUGAGGAAAGAAGAAAGAGCAAAUAGCGGAGAGAUUGCUUUUUGUGGAAAAAGAAAGAACAAGGGUAAAAGGAAUGGAGGAGAAAUACGCGAGAGAGAGUGAGAACGGGAGAUUUAAAGGAAUGAGAGGGGUGAGAUUUGUUUUGUAAUAAAGCGAGGAAGGUCGGCAAAACCAGGGCGGUGAUGAAAAGGGUACGUGGUUAAGUCUUGUACUUCCACGUGCCUUUAAUAAUCUGAAUAAACAAUUGACUCGGACCCGCUUUUAACUAAAUUAUCGGAAUAUCUCGCUAUUUUAUAAUCUAGGAAACAUCAUCAAAAUAAUUUUAUAAAUCCCGGACUAUCAUAAAACUAAUCAAAUAAAAGUUUCGGGAUUUAUAGAGCAUUUUCAAAAUGUAUACAAAAUUUAGAAGUUAGUUGCGUUCAGAAACUAAUUAAAAAUCAUGUUCUUAUAGAAAUUAGAUUUUUAAUAUUUUAAAAACUCCUAAAAUAUUUAUGUUCACUAUCGAGCAAUUAAAAUAAUUUUUCAAAUUAUCUUUAUGUUUUUAUAAAAAUAAAGAUCCAUUUAAAAGAGUAACAAAUUUAAUAAAUUAAUAUAAUAAUAUUAGAAGUGGAAAUAAAUGCACACACAGACAUAAUCUUAAACAAAUAAUAAUUCAAUUAAAUCUCGUAACAGAUAAUUGCACGAUUGAUAGAUAUUUCCUAUAACCCCAAAGACCAGGAAUAUAAUUAAAACAAAUAAGUUUUAUAAAUUAUCAAACUAGAAUAAAAUAUUGAAUUUUAUUUCUCAUUUUUCUGGAAAAAUUACAAAUAAAAAUAAUAGAAUAAUUCCUGAAAAUCCAGGUUGUCACAAUCUACCCCCCUUAAAAGGAUUCUGUCCUCGGAAUCAGCGAAAAGAAAACUAGAGCGUAUGAUCUCUUUAAUACGUGAUUCUCCCUUCUGAUAUAAAAUUCUCCUAAUUAUUUCCGUAUAUCUGCAUCAUCAUCCUCGUUUCCUUAUGUUGCUUCGUGCUACAAAGGCUUAAUUUAUCUUAACAACUUAGUUGGCAUACCUUUAACUAUUAAAAAUUACAAGAAUUUUGGAGAUUGAAAUAUGAAGAUUACAUCUACCGAAGCAAAUGUUACGUGAUUGAAAUUGAAGAGUAACUGAGAGAUCAACAUGAUCUAAAGAACUCGGUGUUGCGUGUCUAAAUUAAGACACUACUAAAGGUAGUUAACCUUCUUGUAAUGUACAACACACACAAGUGAUGGCGUCCCAUCCAACUCCUAUCACACAGACCGGUAGUCCUUGUGUCCCCUAUAGGUAGGGUUGUUCAUCUCAGUUAGAGUUGAAUAAUAUGAUAGAAAUUCAAAAUCAACCAAAAAUGAUUGACUUUUUGAUGAAUGAAUCUUUGAUGCGCACCUUGGGUUAAAAAAAUUGAAUAAGUUCCAAAGGUGCUAGUUUUGAUGAAAAGAUUAGUUAGAAAUGAUGAAAUAGACACAAGCAUCAUUUUAUAACUCAGGAGAGAAAAAUAUAGUAUUUAUUAAAUGUCUCUAGGAAAAAGAUGUCAAAACAAUUCAUUGAUGAAGAAAGUAAUCAAUAUAAUCAAUAAAAGAGAAAGGUAUUGCCAAGAUUCUACAAGAUAUGCUGCUCUGAUGGAUCAUUAUUCGAUUCUAAUCUUCUUCUAUUUUUCAGCGGUCGAUGAUGCUCAAUAACGUAAAUUAUCGUUGACUCACAAUGGUCUGUGAAGAUCUCAUUAUAAAUAUCCAUGAUCGUCAGAAGUCCUACUCAGCUUCGCAUAGUCCGAAAUAUUAUCGAGAUUCGUAUAAUCAUCACCACUGAGUGUUGACGUCUUAACUUACUCACAAGUACCAUAUCCACUAAUUUACACGAGCUCUAAAUAACUUUAACGUUCAUUAUUUAACUAUAUACGGAACUUCUUACUUGACCCUACAAGUUUCAUAUUCUUGUAUUAGCUCUAAUGCUCACUACUUCACUAUAUACAAAGCUUUAAAUUCAGACCUGCUAACACCUAUAUUCUUUCACCAAUUCUAUAUAUCUUUAACAAGAAUCAAAGAUAACUCCCCAAAUAUUAUUCAAAAAUUGGCAGACACUACAAAGAUUACUCUAGACUAUGUGAGAAUCUAUACUAGUCCAGCCUCAAUUGGUUCCCAUUAUAAAGUUCACCUAUUGGUUCCCAUUAUAAAGUUCACCUAAUAGAUGUAUCUUUCAUCCUUCAAAUGGUUUUGAAUCUAAAUCCACCAAAAGAAAUCUUAUCCACCUACUAUGAGUUUCUAACUCAAUUAACCUGGUGUUAAGAAAUUUUGAUCCAUACUAAAAACACAUAAAGUUACUCUUCCAAUUUAUCUCUAUCUUGGUGACGAGGUACUAUGAAAUUAUUAGGGACGGUCUAGACUCAACAAGUGAAUCUAUUUGGUUGCUAGUAUUGGUACUAAAUACUCAAUAUAAUAGAAACUGGUGGAGGCCUGCUCUUUCUUCCUUGAGAUAUAAACUUGCUAGUUCUGAAACAGAAAACCUAUCAUACACACUAUGAUAUACUCAAGGUCAAUACUAUAUGUGAAUCUUGGUUCUAUUGACACAUGCUAUUCCAAAUAGCUCUAGACUACCUCUAUGUGAGGUUACACUUAACGCACCUUUUUAUUAAACCUGAUAUUACCACCUAUAUUCUGAUUUCAAUAACUUAUAACCUGCGGCUCUGAUACCAACUGUGACACCCUCAGAUCCGGGGGUCUGGAUCUGGUGCCACGUGUAAAUAAAAAUAAUUUAAAACCUGUAGUUUUGAGCCACUGAAAGAAAAACAAUUUAAAACCUGUAUUUUUGGAAGAAAGUAAAAACAAGUAUUUCUAAACCUGGAUAUUAUUAUUUUUUUUUUUUUUAAAAGAAGGUCUUUAAUUCAAAAUCAAUUUCACCCCCUGAAAACAGGAUCGCACACAGGCUACAGCAUUGAAAUCAGAAACUAAAACUAUAAAAUCUUAUUUACAAAUUAAACAACAUUAUCAGCUAAACCUCGAUAAGAAGAGUAGCUGAUAACCAAAUAAACAAAUCUAAUUUCCAACUGAAUUGAAUUGCAGAACUCCAACUGCAUCUAGUCUUAAUGACAUCGUCCUAAAUACUCUACCUGUCCAUCUGCUUGAAACUCAACCACUUGCAAUCCUUGCCUAGUCUUAAGUGAAUCAUCUUUAUUCCUAGCUGAAAAGGGUUAGAAGGAAUAGCAAGAAUGAGCAAUAAUGCUCAGCAAGAAUAACAAAAUGAAAUUGAUAUUUGUUGUACAGCAAUGCCAUAAUAAAGAAGUGAAAAUAUUUAAAACUGCAGAAAUGAAUGUAUAAGCAAAUAUCUCUUGAAGGCAGGGUAACUUCUUUUUAAACUAUUCACAAUUUUAUUGGGCUUUAAAAAUAAUUGGACACCUGGCUAUAACAGAUGAUCAGUCAUGCUAUAGUCCAUAAACCAAGCUUAUUCAGCAAGGUUGACAAAUAUUACGAAUUCCGGUAAUCCGGGCUUAAGGAGCCACCUUUCACGCUGGGCCGGUGCCCGAGCCUCUUACGCAAAAACAACCCAAUAGUUUAAUUUUUAAAACAAUCUGCAGUUCCAUCAUGUAAUUCAAGAGCCAGAAUAACAUUUUGUUAAAACAAUUUCUUUAUGCAUAUCAUAGUGUAGAGUUGAUACCAAAAGUGUUAUCCGUUCAACCAAAAAGUUUAAAAGUACUAGAUAUGCUUCACAAGAAAGUAAUUGCAAAUAAUUUGAAUCAUGAUAUAAAGAAGGUUUUAGUAUCUAUAGGUACUAGAGGAGUAGGGUAGAAAUACUUGCUUCUAAAUUGCGAGAGAAGGUAGAAGUACUUGCCUUAACUCCAAAGUUUAGCUCAGAUUCCUAGUAACACUAUAUACCGCAUAAUCAUUCCUUUCUGCCAGCUUCUGACACACUUUUAUCUAUAACAAAUCUCCGUCCUACUUCAACUUGUAACAUUCUGCUUGGCUAUUUCUGAAUACCCCUUUCAAUCACUUCUCGAUUAAUGCCUCGGUCAAUGUCUUCAAUUCUAUACGAUGAUAAAAUAGUAUUUCAGUCGUCGGAUUAGACAUAUUGACUAACCCUGAAUUGCAUUAAGACCUAUAUAUAUAUCUACCCUUCGCAUAUACAUACCAC